GUGAGCACGAGCCCUGCAGCUCUGAAUCAGAAAGAAAUCCUUGGCCGUAUUUAAGAAAGUUAUUUGAGUUCAAAGGAGCAAAGAAUGAGUCCUUGCGUUUUCAGUGUAUCUCAUGCCUGCCUCAACCCAAAGAAUUGUUGCCGUUUAAAAACUCCCCUUCAAAUUUGAAGAAACAUAUACAGGUUCAGCCCAGCAGAACUUGCUUUCUUGACAGAAUAUGCAACAACCAUGAACUCAGUCUCCAAGGCACUCAACAUGUUGCAGGCAGAGGUGGAUGUCCACAUGGGAUGGCUGUUACCAACUAUAACCGUCUUGACUGUGAAGCUGGACCGCCUCCAAAAAUCAUCCAAGUUCUGCAAACCUCUGAUCUCUGCCCUUUAAGAAGGAAUACAGCGGUGGUUUGGUGACAUGCUUACUGUGGUGCCGACCGAAUAACAGGAACAGGGAUCCAGUUGUGUAGGCAUGGACUACAGCAAGAGUCACUUGGAGGAGGACCAAGCCUCAUCACCAGAUAGCCAUUCUGG